AUUGAACGCUAGCGGGAUGCUUUACACAUGCAAGUCGAACGAGUGGCGGACGGGUGAGUAAUGUAUCGGAACGUGCCCAGUGGCGGGGGAUAACUACUCGAAAGAGUGGCUAAUACCGCAUACUAUCGGAGCGGCCGAUAUGGGAUUAGCUAGUUGGUGGGGUAAAGGCUCACCAAGGCGACGAUCCGUAGCUGGUCUGAGAGGACGACCAUCCACACUGGGACUGAGACACGGUCCAGACUCCUACGGGAGGCAGCAGUGGGGAAUAUUGGACAAUGGGGGAAACCCUGAUCCAGCCAUCCCGCGUGUGUGAGAAGGCCUUCGGGUUGUAAAGUACUUUUGGCAGGGAAGCGGUAUCUGCAGAAUAAGCACCGGCUAACUACGUGCCAGCAGCCGCGGUAAUUC
rnacentral:rRNA from 1 species